AUCUAGCUGACAUGUCCCAAAUGGGACGAAACUUGCGUCCUGGAU
rfam:Schistosoma rodhaini strain Burundi genome assembly, scaffold: SROB_scaffold0004349